rnacentral:rRNA from 1 species
AUUCCGGUUGAUCCCGCCGGAGGCCACUGCUAUUGGGAUUCGACUAAGCCAUGCGAGUCUAUGGUUUCGGCCAUGGCGGAC